AUGGGAGUUGUUCUAACCAAAGACAACCUCGCACGGCGCAAUUGGCAAGGGAGUAAGAAGUGUUGUUUUUGUACUCAUGAUGAGACCAUCAGACACCUCUUUUUCCAAUGCAACUUUGCACGUUCUACGUGGUCAGUCAUCCAAAUAGCGUCAAGUUUAUAUCCGCCCACAAGUGUUGCCAAUAUUUUUGGCCAUUGGUUGGAUGGUAUUUCAAAUAGGUUCAAAACGUUAUUAAGGGUGAGAGCGUAUGCCUUACUAUGGUCGCUUUGGCUAUGUAGAAAUGAUUUUGUUUUUAAUGACAAAAAUGCUUCUCCUUUGCAGGCUAUUUUCCGCUGUACGCACUCGCUUCGUAUAUGGUCUAUGCUACAACGAGCGGAGGUCCAACCGUUGUUCAAGGCGGUGUGUACGCGGUUGGAGCAGGUGGCUACGGAGGUUUUUACACAACAUGGGUGGCAGCAUAACCUCCGGAUCGGUCCAUCUCAUCUUUCGACAUAG
rnacentral:rRNA from 1 species